AUAGCAAUCUGCAGCCGGCAAGGGGGCGGCACUUAGUCAGGCUCCGCCCACAAGACCCGGCUGCCGUCCCCGCCCGCCUGCGCGGGAUCGACUCCGCAUGCGCACUGGAGCCUCGGAAUACAGCCAGGACUCUCCCGUCGGAAUGCGCCCCUAAGUUGGGCCAAGCCCAUUCAUUCAGGGGCUCCCGAGCCACGUAGGCGCCAUCCCUGGCCAGAGGGGUUCUGAGGAGGUGGGCAAGGGCAGACACUCUCUCCCGGUCUCAAAUUCGAAAUAGGGACUAGAAGGGAACUUCACGCGAGGCCUCGCAACUGUCGCGAGAAUCAGAACAGGAAAUCUAGGAACCGAGAACACUAAGAGCCCGCGGAUUUUAAACAGGAAAAAGAAAGGGCGGAGCAAACUCUGGCGGAUAGUUGUGAGUAAUCCCUGGUCCUUGGAAUAAGUGUCGACCUGAGACAGAAGGGGAACUGUCAGAGAGCUGCCGGAGACCCUGAAAAAGGCCAGAGACGGGGACUUGUGGGGCUGACGAAUGGAAUCACCCAAGGAGAGGUCUCUGACUCUAACAAAACACCUUGGGGACGGAGCUCCUUGGCUGGGAUACAGAGCAGACAAGUCCGGGAUCUUUUAGUGAAUUGCUGCCGGCUUCUAAGGCCUGGAGCAGAUAUUCAACAACAAACUCCACGGACCUAGAAACUCUCCACUUAUCCUACUAUUGUAGACGGUGGCUUACUUUUAGUCUUCCCUAUGCUCUAAGCUUCUGGUAGUAGGAAUCGUGCCUAACUCACUACUGUAUCUUGUGAACCUAGCCCCGCGCCUGGUGGCACGUCAAAUUCUCGGUAAAUAUUUGUGGAUUAAAUGUGAAAGACUGCCUGAGUGUUUAACCUGGAUUUUCUGAGUCGCUGAUGGAGAACAGUAGGUAGACGGGGAACCAGCGCCCUCUGGUGGGCUUGUGGUUCGUGACGAGAACAUGCUGGAACCGUGCAUCCAGGUAGGCACAAAGAUAAUAAAAGGGGAUCCGCUGUUAUUAAGUAGAGAUUUUGUUACAUUAAAACCCUACAUACCGUAAAAAUGCUUUUAGAAGGGAGUUUUUUGAAUAGGACACAACUUGAAAGUUUAGAUACAUUCCCCGAUCCUCAACAUCCCAUACUUUAUCC
rnacentral:lncRNA from 1 species